rnacentral:rRNA from 1 species
ACAUGUGACAUAUGUGGAAGGGAGAGAGAGGAUGAGUUUCAUGCUGUCGUUUCAUGUACUUGCAGCAAAGCUCUGAGAUGUGCUAUGAGGGCAAAUUGGGAUAUCCCAAAAGAAUCAGCAUUCAGAAUGUCAGGCAGGGACUGGUUGCAGAUGCUGCUAACCCCACAGCCCGAGCAUGUCAGGAAAAAUAUCCUCAUGAUUUUGUGGAAAGCAUGGCAGUUAAGAAAUAAUGUGAUCCAGGGUGAUGGGAAAGAAACGGUCUCUGGAGCAGUGCACCAAUUACUUAGACUGGGUGAAGAUCUCGAACUGGCCGAGCAGACGACAGUCACACCUGCUAGCCAGAACUCUAUUCAUGCGCGGGCAGACCGAUCUCCGGUCCCUGCGAGGCCUGCACCCAAUCAUUGGGAACCUCCUCCAUUGGGAUCAGUCAAGCUGAAUUGUGAUGCAUCUUUUCUGCAGAACACUGGCAGUGCAUGGGGCGGGGCUGUCGCUCGGGACCAUAGGGGUUUCCCCUUGUUCUCUGCUGGAAGACAAAUGCGUCAGUGCAGAUCCCCUGAUGAAGCAGAAGCUGCGGCUGUCCUACUGGGACUUACUGACUUAGCCAAGCUCUUUAAUGGGCAUGUUGUGGUGGAGGUGGACAGCUCCACAAUUGGGCGUGAGAUUGUGUCGAAGGAAAUCUGUAGAUCACCGUGGUUUGCUGUGAUGAUGGACAUUUAA